rnacentral:rRNA from 1 species
AGAAUCAACGCUGGCGGCGUGCCUAACACAUGCAAGUCGAACGAGAAAGGAGAGCAAUCCCUGAGUAAAGUGGCGCACGGGUGAGUAACACGUGACUAACCUACCCUUGAGUGGGGGAUAACUGAGGGAAACCUUAGCUAAUACCGCAUAAUACCCACGGGUCAAAGGAGCAAUUCGCUCGAGGAGGGGUCGCGGCCGAUUAGUUAGUUGGCGGGGUAAUGGCCCACCAAGACGAUGAUCGGUA